UUCAACGGCGGGCGAUGCGCGGGGAUUCCGAUCCGCCGGCUUUUCUCACUUUGAACCGGUAUGCCAACCCGCAUCGCCCGCCACCUCG
rnacentral:antisense_RNA from 1 species